AAAGACGGUCUUGCUGUCACUUAUAGAUGGAUCCGCGCUGCAUUAGCUAGUUGGUAAGGUAACGGCUUACCAAGGCAACGAUGCAUAGCCGACCUGAGAGGGUGAUCGGCCACACUGGAACUGAGACACGGUCCAGACUCCUACGGGAGGCAGCAGUAGGGAAUCUUCCGCAAUGGGCGAAAGCCUGACGGAGCAACGCCGCGUGAGUGAUGAAGGUCUUCGGAUCGUAAAACUCUGUUAUUAGGGAAGAACAUAUGUGUAAGUAACUGUGCACAUCUUGACGGUACCUAAUCAGAAAGCCACGGCUAACUACGUGCCAGCAGCCGCGGUAAUACGUAGGUGGCAAGCGUUAUCCGGAAUUAUUGGGCGUAAAGCGCGCGUAGGCGGUUUUUUAAGUCUGAUGUGAAAGCCCACGGCUCAACCGUGGAGGGUCAUUGGAAACUGGAAAACUUGAGUGCAGAAGAGGAAAGUGGAAUUCCAUGUGUAGCGGUGAAAUGCGCAGAGAUAUGGAGGAACACCAGUGGCGAAGGCGACUUUCUGGUCUGUAACUGACGCUGAUGUGCGAAAGCGUGGGGAUCAAACAGGAUUAGAUACCCUGGUAGUCCACGCCGUAAACGAUGAGUGCUAAGUGUUAGGGGGUUUCCGCCCCUUAGUGCUGCAGCUAACGCAUUAAGCACUCCGCC
rnacentral:rRNA from 1 species